AGAGUUUGAUCCUGGCUCAGGAUGAACGCUAGCUACAGGCUUAACACAUGCAAGUCGAGGGGCAGCAUUUCAGUUUGCUUGCAAACUGGAGAUGGCGACCGGCGCACGGGUGAGUAACACGUAUCCAACCUGCCGAUAACUCGGGGAUAGCCUUUCGAAAGAAAGAUUAAUACCCGAUGGUAUAAUCAGACCGCAUGGUCUUGUUAUUAAAGAAUUUCGGUUAUCGAUGGGGAUGCGUUCCAUUAGGCAGUUGGUGAGGUAACGGCUCACCAAACCUUCGAUGGAUAGGGGUUCUGAGAGGAAGGUCCCCCACAUUGGAACUGAGACACGGUCCAAACUCCUACGGGAGGCAGCAGUGAGGAAUAUUGGUCAAUGGGCGCAGGCCUGAACCAGCCAAGUAGCGUGAAGGAUGACUGCCCUAUGGGUUGUAAACUUCUUUUAUAUGGGAAUAAAGUUUUCCACGUGUGGAAUUUUGUAUGUACCAUAUGAAUAAGGAUCGGCUAACUCCGUGCCAGCAGCCGCGGUAAUACGGAGGAUCCGAGCGUUAUCCGGAUUUAUUGGGUUUAAAGGGAGCGUAGGUGGACAGUUAAGUCAGUUGUGAAAGUUUGCGGCUCAACCGUAAAAUUGCAGUUGAUACUGGCUGUCUUGAGUACAGUAGAGGUGGGCGGAAUUCGUGGUGUAGCGGUGAAAUGCUUAGAUAUCACGAAGAACUCCGAUUGCGAAGGCAGCUCACUGGACUGCAACUGACACUGAUGCUCGAAAGUGUGGGUAUCAAACAGGAUUAGAUACCCUGGUAGUCCACACAGUAAACGAUGAAUACUCGCUGUUUGCGAUAUACAGUAAGCGGCCAAGCGAAAGCAUUAAGUAUUCCACCUGGGGAGUACGCCGGCAACGGUGAAACUCAAAGGAAU
rnacentral:rRNA from 1 species